UGUAAUGUGCAUUUUCUUCGGAACGCCGGAGACAGGUGGUGCAUGGUUGUCGUCAGCUCGUGUCGUGAGAUGUUGGGUUAAGUCCCGCAACGAGCGCAACCCCUGUCCUUAGUAGCCAGCAUUUCGGGUGGGCACUCUAGGGAGACUGCCAGGGAUAACCUGGAGGAAGGCGGGGAUGACGUCAAAUCAUCAUGCCCCUUAUGGCUUGGGCUACACACGUGCUACAAUGGCGUAAACAAAGGGAAGCGAGCCCGCGAGGGGGAGCGAAUCCCAAAAAUAACGUCCCAGUUCGGACUGUAGUCUGCAACCCGACUACACGAAGCUGGAAUCGCUAGUAAUCGCGAAUCAGAAUGUCGCGGUGAAUACGUUCCCGGGUCUUGUACACACCGCCCGUCACACCAUGGGAGUCGGGAAUGCCCGAAGCCGGUGACCCAACCGAAAGGAGGGAGCCGUCGAAGGCAGGUCUGAUAACUGGGGUGAAGUCGUAACAAGGUAGCCGUAUCGGAAGGUGCGGCUGGAUCACCUC
rnacentral:rRNA from 1 species